GACGAGGGGUGCAAACGUUAUUCGGAAUCACUGGGUGUAAAGGGUGCGUAGACGGGAAUCCAAGCCUGUUGUUAAAUCUUUCGGCCUAACCGAAAGCUUGCGGCAGGAACUGGGUUUCUAGAGGAUGGAAGAGAGAAGUGGAAUUUCUGGAGUAGCGGUGGAAUGCGUAGAUCUCAGAAGGAACACCGAUGGCGAAGGCAGCUUCUUGGUCCAUUACUGACGUUGAGGCACGAAAGCGUGGGUAGCAAACAGG
rnacentral:rRNA from 1 species